rnacentral:rRNA from 1 species
AGUGAACGCUGGCGGCAGGCCUAACACAUGCAAGUCGAGCGGCAGCGCGUCCGACCACCCUCGGGUGGUCGGAUGGCGGCGAGCGGCGGACGGGUGAGGAAUGCAUCGGAAUCUGCCUCGUUGUGGGGGAUAACGUAGGGAAACUUACGCUAAUACCGCAUACGACCUACGGGUGAAAGUGGGGGACCUUCGGGCCUCACGCGAUGAGAUGAGCCGAUGCCGGAUUAGCUAGUUGGCGGGGUAAAGGCCCACCAAGGCGACGAUCCGUAGCUGGUCUGAGAGGAUGAUCAGCAACACUGGGACUGAGACACGGCCCAGACUCCUACGGGAGGCAGCAGUGGGGAAUCUUAGACAAUGGGCGCAAGCCUGAUCUAGCCAUGCCGCGUGGACGAUGAAGGCCUUAGGGUUGUAAAGUCCUUUCAGAUGGGAAGAUAAUGACGGUACCAUCAGAAGAAGCCCCGGCUAACUCCGUGCCAGCAGCCGCGGUAAAG